UACGUAGGGUGCAAGCGUUGUCCGGAAUUAUUGGGCGUAAAGAGCUCGUAGGCGGUUUGUUGCGUCGGCUGUGAAAUCCCGAGGCUCAACCUCGGGUCUGCAGUCGAUACGAGCAAACUAGAGUGUUGCAGGGGAGACUGGAAUUCCUGGUGUAGCGGUGAAAUGCGCAGAUAUCAGGAGGAACACCCGUGGCGAAGGCGGCUCUCUGGAACGCAACUGACGCUGAGACGCGAAAGCGUGGGGAGCAAACAGG
rnacentral:rRNA from 1 species